UACGUAGGGGGCAAGCGUUGUCCGGAAUUAUUGGGCGUAAAGAGCGCGUAGGCGGUCCGAUAAGUCGGCUGUGAAAGUCAAGGGCUCAACCCUUGAAAGCCGGCCGAUACUGUCGGACUAGAGUCCGGAAGAGGCGAGUGGAAUUCCUGGUGUAGCGGUGAAAUGCGCAGAUAUCAGGAGGAACACCUAUUGCGAAGGCAGCUCGCUGGGACGUAACUGACGCUGAGACGCGAAAGCGUGGGGAGCAAACAGG
rnacentral:rRNA from 1 species